rnacentral:tRNA from 1 species
GGGUAGUGAAACCAACCAAGGUGGGAGAGCGCUUCGCUGGCGGCGAAGAGGUCAGCAGUUCGAUCCUGCUAGGGCCCC